rnacentral:rRNA from 1 species
UUUUAAUAUUAUUAUUAUUAAUAAAAUCUGCUCAAUGAAUUUUAAAUAGCCGCAAUUAUUAUAUUGUGCUAAGGUAGCAUAAUCAUUUGUCUUUUAAUUAAAGACUAGAACGAAAGAUUCUACAUUUUAAUUUCUAUAACUUAAAAUAAAUACUUUUAAUUUAUUUUAAAUAUUAAAAAAUAUUUAUAAAUAAAAAAGACGAUAAGACCCUAUUGAACUUAACUUAAGUUAAACUGGGGAAGUUAAUUAAAUAUAACUUUAAUAAAAAUUUAAAAAUAAAAUAGAUCUGAUUUAAAUCAAUUUAAUAAUCAAGUUACCAUAGGGAUAACAGCGUAAUAAUUUUUUAAAGAUCUUAUAAAAAAAAAAGUUUACGACCUCGAUGUUGAAUAAUUCACUAAAAAAUGAAAAUAUUAUUUAAGUAAGUCUGUUCGACUUUUAAUAAAUUACA